rnacentral:rRNA from 1 species
GGUGAGUAAUGCCUAGGAAUCUGCCUGGUAGUGGGGGACAACGUUUCGAAAGGAACGCUAAUACCGCAUACGUCCUAAGGGAGAAAGCAGGGGACCUUCGGGCCUUGCGCUAUCAGAUGAGCCUAGGUCGGAUUAGCUUGUUGGUGAGGUAAUGGCUCACCAAGGCGACGAUCCGUAACUGGUCUGAGAGGAUGAUCAGUCACACUGGAACUGAGACACGGUCCAGACUCCUACGGGAGGCAGCAGUGGGGAAUAUUGGACAAUGGGCGAAAGCCUGAUCCAGCCAUGCCGCGUGUGUGAAGAAGGUCUUCGGAUUGUAAAGCACUUUAAGUUGGGAGGAAGGGUUGUAGAUUAAUACUCUGCAAUUUUGACGUUACCGACAGAAUAAGCACCGGCUAACUCUGUGCCAGCAGCCGCGGUAAUACAGAGGGUGCAAGCGUUAAUCGGAAUUACUGGGCGUAAAGCGCGCGUAGGUGGUUUGUUAAGUUGGAUGUGAAAGCCCCGGGCUCAACCUGGGAACUGCAUCCAAAACUGGCAAGCUAGAGUACGGUAGAGGGUGGUGGAAUUUCCUGUGUAGCGGUGAAAUGCGUAGAUAUAGGAAGGAACACCAGUGGCGAANGCGACCACCUGGACUGAUACUGACACUGAGGUGCGAAAGCGUGGGGAGCAAACAGGAUUAGAUACCCUGGUAGUCCACGCCGUAAACGAUGUCAACUAGCCGUUGGAAUCCUUGAGAUUUUAGUGGCGCAGCUNACGCAUUAAGUUGACCGCCUGGGGAGUACGGCCGCAAGGUUAAAACUCAAAUGAAUUGANGGGGCCCGCACAAGCGGUGG